AGUGAACGCUGGCGGCGUGCUUAACACAUGCAAGUCGAACGAGAACGGAAUAUAGCUUGCUAUAUUUGUCAGCUAAGUGGCGCACGGGUGAGUAAUGUAUAGAUAACCUGCCCUUAAGAAAGGAAUAACAGUUGGAAACGACUGCUAAUGCCCUAUAUGCCUUUAAUACAUAAGUAUGCAAGGGAAACGCUUUAGUGCUUAAGGAUGGGUCUGUAUGGUAUCAGCUUGUUGGUGAGGUAAUGGCUCACCAAGGCUAUGACGCCUAACUGGUUUGAGAGGAUGAUCAGCCACACUGGAACUGAGACACGGUCCAGACUCCUACGGGAGGCAGCAGUGAGGAAUAUUGCACAAUGGACGAAAGUCUGAUGCAGCAACGCCGCGUGGAGGAUGACACAUUUCGGUGCGUAAACUCCUUUUAUAUAGGAAGAUAAUGACGGUACUAUAUGAAUAAGCACCGGCUAACUCCGUGCCAGCCGCCGCGGUAA
rnacentral:rRNA from 1 species